rnacentral:rRNA from 1 species
GACGUUUCGAACGGAUAACCGUGGGAAACCAAGGCUAAUACGGGUGGAAACCGGACCUUGUGGUCUCGCGGUAUUUCCUGCUCCUAAAGCUGAACGCGCUUUGCGUGUGCGAGGAAUCGCAGGAACUUUUCGAGUCGAAUAAUCGAUGCGUCAUUUUGGUUUCUGACCUAUCAGCUUCCGACGGUAGGAUAUAGGCCUACCGUGGCUUUGACGGGUAACGGGGAAUUAGGGUUUGAUUCCGGAGAGGGAGCCUGAGAAACGGCUACCACGUCUAAGGACGGCAGCAGGCGCGUAAAUUACCCAAUCCUGACACAGGGAGGUAGUGACAAAAAAUAGCAACUCAAAGCAUAUGCUUUGUUGAUUGCAAUGAGAUUUGGCCAAAGCUCAUAACGAGAAACUAUUAGAGGGCAAGUCUGGUGCCAGCAGCCGCGGUAAUUCCAGCUCUAAGAGGGUAUUCGAAUUUUGUUGCAGUUAAAAAGCUCGUAGUUGAAUUGUGUCGUCUGCUGAACAGUCUCUUUUAGAGCGGGAAGCAGGCGCGGGUCCAAUCGGACCUUUGAAACUUUGAGAAAAUUUGAGUGUUUCAGGCGGGCCAGAGCUUGAAUCGUGUACCAUGGAAUUUCGCAGUGGCAGGUCACCCGUUGUUUCGGCUUAUGGGUGAAGCUGUGCGUGAUUGAUAGGAACUGUCGGGGGCAUUCGUACUGAACAGUCAGAGGUGAAAUUCUUAGAUUUGUUCAAGACGAACCAAUGCGAAAGCAUCUGCCCAGGAUGUUUUCAUUAAUCAAGAACGAAAGUUAGGGGAUCCAAGACGAUCAGAUACCGUCGUAGUCUUAACUGUAAACUAUGCCGACUAGAGAUCGGAAGAUAUCAUUGAGGAUUCCUUCGGCACCUAACGAGAAAUCAAAGUUUGGUUG